AUGCUGCCAAGCUCGUCCGCAGGAAGGCCACCUCCCGCCGCGUGCCCCUCUGCAUCUGGUGCUGGUAGCAGUCCUCCCCCAGCAGCUCGGCCAGCUUGGCGAGCAGGGAGCUCAUCGCCCCCGUCGCGGCGCUCGCCAUGAUCCCGCCACCCCCGUCCAUCCCUUGUCGAUUGCGUGCCUCCCCUCCCCUGUCACGCAGAGCAGCUCGACGAAUGAGAGGGCCGACGAUGAUGGAUGGAGAGGAGCAGACGGGCGGAGGAGACGAGUCGUAGCAAAUCUCUGCCUGGGUCUUGGUCAACAACGAGACGCGGCAAGGCAAGGAAAAGAUUGGUCCUUUGGACUAUGGAUAUGGAAGGUGGAAGAUAGGGACGGGGAUACGCGGCGGUGUGAAGGCGAGGAAAACAGAGCACGCCGCCGCUCGCCGUUGAGGCUCCGGAGGCGCUGAACGCCCCUGCCGUUGGCUGCCUAUGUUCUUUUAUCUUUACCUUUACCUAGGCACUGUAAACUGUCUUGGUGAAUUUGUUCCAAUUUCCUCAAGAUUGAGUAGUCAGGUUCUAGAAAUGUCUCGAGUUGGUUUGGUAGUUUGAUUAUGAAAUUUUUGAUAAUUUGCUACUGGUUCAAAUUUCUUACUGGGCUUGAGAGAUGGGUCGGAAGUUUGUACCACUUUCGAAAGGAAGAAGAAAGAGAGAUCUAGGUUGUGAAGUAUGGACUAGGAGGUGUCCUCAGACUGCACAUAGAGAAUCUACUGUAAACUGUUUUCUCUUUACUUUUUAUGAAAUCUUCUCAUCUUUACUUGCAGAGCAAAAUAUUCACACUAUUAGUUCCAGCUUCAGUUCAUCACUCUAACUCCUGUCUGCUACUUUCUGUCAGUGGAUGAAGGGUGCUUGGGUCAAUCAAGAGCAAAAUCUAUAUGUUCGUUCCUACAAGAGCUCAAUGAUGCUGUGAAAGCCAAGUAUGUUGAGGAGUCUCCAGCAACAAUGAUAGAUACAAACCCUUCAUUCUUUUCCCAGUUCACUGUUAUCAUUGCUACCCACGUGUGUUUUCGUAUACUCUCAAGAUAAGCUGCAAAAUCAGCAAUUAAUAUGCUGGUGCUUUCUCUGUAGAUUUUUUUUGCUGAAUGAAUACUUGUGAUUUUUGUGAAGCCAAAA